rnacentral:rRNA from 1 species
CCUACGGGUGGCAGCAGUGAGGAAUAUUGGUCAAUGGGCGCGAGCCUGAACCAGCCAAGUAGCGUGAAGGAUGACUGCCCUACGGGUUGUAAACUUCUUUUAUAAAGGAAUAAAGUGAGGCACUUGUGCCUUUUUGUAUGUACUUUAUGAAUAAGGAUCGGCUCACUCCUGGCCAGCAGCCGCGGUACUACGGAGAGUCCGAGCGUUAUCCGGAUGUAUUGGGGUUAAAGGGAGCGUCGCUGGGUUGUUAAGUCAGUUGUGAAAGUUUGCGGCUCAACCGUAAAAUUGCAAUUGAUACUGGCAGUCUUGAGUACAGUUGAGGUAGGCGGAAUUCGUGGUGUAGCGGUGAAAUGCGUAGAUAUCAGGAAGAACUCCGAUUGCGAAGGCAGCUUACUAAACAGCCACUGACAUUGAUGCUCGAAAGUGUGGGUAGCAAACAGGAUUAGAUACCCGAGUAGUC